rnacentral:rRNA from 1 species
UAAAACGUAGGAGGCGAGCGUUAUCCGGAAUUACUGGGCGUAAAGGGCGUCUAGGCGGUCGGACGAGUCCAGCGUGAAAGCUCCUGGCUCAACUGGGAGAGGUCGUUGGAUACUGUCAGGCUUGAGGGCCGGAGAGGGGGGUGGAAUUCCCGGUGGAGCGGUGGAAUGCGUAGAGAUCGGGAGGAACACCAGUGGCGAAGGCGGCCCCCUGGCCGGUUCCUGACGCUGAAGCGCGAAAGCGUGGGGAGCGAACGGGAUUAGAUACCCCGGUAGUCCACGCCGUAAACGAUGGGUGCUAGUGUGGGGGGGGUUUGACCCCUUCCGUGCCGAAGGUAACCCGAUAAGCAUCCCGCCUGGGGAGUACGGCCGCAAGGCUA